rnacentral:rRNA from 1 species
AUUGAACGCUGGCGGCAUGCCUUACACAUGCAAGUCGAACGGCAGCACGGGUGCUUGCACCUGGUGGCGAGUGGCGAACGGGUGAGUAAUACAUCGGAACAUGUCCUGUAGUGGGGGAUAGCCCGGCGAAAGCCGGAUUAAUACCGCAUACGAUCUACGGAUGAAAGCGGGGGACCUUCGGGCCUCGCGCUUUAGGGUUGGUCGAUGGCUGAUUAGCUAGUUGGUGGGGUAAAGGCCUACCAAGGCGACGAUCAGUAGCUGGUCUGAGAGGACGACCAGCCACACUGGGACUGAGACACGGCCCAGACUCCUACGGGAGGCAGCAGUGGGGAAUUUUGGACAAUGGGCGAAAGCCUGAUCCAGCAAUGCCGCGUGUGUGAAGAAGGCCUUCGGGUUGUAAAGCACUUUUGUCCGGAAAGAAAUCCUUGGCCCUAAUACGGUCGGGGGAUGACGGUACCGGAAGAAUAAGCACCGGCUAACUACGUG